GUGGCUUUUCUGUCCAACGUGCUGUGCUGUGUGUGCCUGCAGGUCAUAUUUAUCUGCCUGUCAGGACUGUCGGAGCACUGGAUGGAGAGCAGGUCAUAUGAAGAGGAUUAGGGAGUAAAAGGCAGCUUGUACUGAAGUGCAGGGAAAGUAUAAAUAUUGAUAUAUAUUGGCACAGUGCCUGGCCUUAAUGCUUAAAAUCCUUUGGAGAGCUGUCUGCAUAUUUACUGUAUUAAUGAUCAAAUGCAAGGCUGUGUUGGGAAAGGUCUUCCAUUUGGAAGUCAGUAGUUGAGACUGUCUUGCCUAUGAAAAAGAGGGAGAAUUUUCGUUAGAGGAUGUAGGAUUCUGGCUGGUAAUAGUCUUAAUUCAAGGUAUUUUUAGAGAAUUGAUUUAAUACAAGCAGAACAAAUGGCCAGAAGUGUAAUGAGAGACAAGUUGAAAUUAGAAAGUAGAUGUGCAUUUUGAAUGUAUUGUCAUAGCAACUGAUUCAGUUCUCCCUCUCUUGCUGUUCUGGGGACCUUUUAAAUGUGCUUUGGCUAAAUAAAAAGUAUUAGACUAUUUCAGAGCCAAAAGGUCAGUUCUUGUUGUCUCUUUUGCACUUUAAUUCUAGUACACUGAUACUUGCUAACCACUUAUAACCCUAGAUGCAGAAUGAGAACUUGGGUUAUUAACAAUAAAGAAGUAAACAGCAGAAAGACUUGACCUUUCUUUUGAAUUGCCCUACAGUGUUAAAAAAUACCAAACAAACCUCCUUCCCCAAAGAAACACCCCCCAAAAUACCCCAACAACUCACCAAACAGAAAAUCACUGACAACCAAAAAGCAGAAGUAACAAACAUGAACAGCAAGUGGAGGAAGAGUUUGAAAGUGGGCUGGACAGAACCAGAAGUGUUACUGCCCACUCUUAGGCCACUGUGCUGAUUAAAUGGGUGUUGUUAGGUUUAGAUUAGUAGUUCGUUGUUGUUGGGUUUUUCAGUGGUGUUGAUUUUUUUGUUGUCGUUGUGGGGGAUUGUUUGUUUGUUUGUUUUACUUUGUUUUUUUUCUGUAUUAAAAAUCUGGCUCAGUUACUCUCUAGUUCUGGUGUGUUUUCUUUUCCAGGUGGUUGGUGUUUCUGCAGUGUUUGGCACAGGACUGGGGGAGAUUUUUACCCAGCUUUCUAAAGCUGUAGAUGAAUAGGAGAGACUGAAUGCACUCCCUUUAUUCACCUUUUCAGAGAGUAUCGUCCAGAAUACGAGCGCCUGAGAAAAACACUGGACAGUUCUCUGCAGGCACAGCUACACAGAGUUUGGCUUCCCGGCGUUGCUGAAAACGUCCUAGAAUCCCACCUGACUGGAGGUUGCUUUCCACGCUUAGUCAGAAGUUCUGUGAAACCUUAGUUGAAAUGUAAGACCUGCAUAGUGACUUCUGCUCUCUGACUGGGGGACAGGCUGCUGGGUUUGGGUGAGGUUUCUCUUCUCCUAAUGUUUUAAAUGUUCUCAGAAUCCACAGGUAAAUCUUUGUCUAUGGGAGAAAGCUCAAAAUAAACAAAAGAGAGAGCAGCUGGAACACUUGUGGAAGGACAUGGGCAGCGUGUGUGUGCAGGGCAGCACAGUGGCAGGUACCUCCCCAGGAAGAUAAAGUUUACUGCAGAAGUUUUCUGAAGAGUUUGCCUUGUGAAGUAGUACAGUGCUUCUUUGUCCUCACAGCAGAAGUGUGAAGGCAGCUCCAUGUUAGAGGAGCGGGGCUUUAGUUCCUGUGGGGUUGGUCACACUCAGCUCUUCCUGUGUCAGUCACAGGUUUGGAAGAAACCCCGCUGUGUAGCUAAAGCAGUGGACCUACUAGAAAUAAUGAAAUACUUUAGAAAAGGUGAAACAGUCAGAUCAGAAUAUGAGAAAGCUCUGCUGUUGGCUGCACUGUUCCUUAGAUGAGGCGAGUAGGUGCUGAUGGAGUCUGUCCUGUGUCUGGGAUCCACAAGCAGCUUUCUGUCCCCUUAGAGCAGGUGUUCAUUGCUGGGUUUCUGUGCAGAUAGAAACCUUACCUUUAGCAAGCUGGUUGGUGUACAGCUGUUUCUGUUCCCUUCAAGGACCUGAUGCUUCUGCAAUGGGUCCCUCUGAGCUAAUACUAACACGAGGAACUCUCAAUGAAGAGCAAGAAGAGAGGGAGAGUGACGCUGAUGGCAUUGACCAUGAAGGUAAGGGAAUGAGGUCUAAAAGCUGCCUCUCAAGAAAUCCCCUCUAUAUUUCAUGUCCUGGAUGGACUGUAAGGAGAGCCUAGAAAACAAGCAAACAUUCAGUCACCUGACGUGUCAGAAUGUGUAGCAGAAGCUCAGCUGCAAUGGUCAGUGCAGGGAUAUCACUCUGUAACCUUUGUGAAAGUUCAAUUGUAAAUUUUCUAUUCAAGUAAUUAAUAGGUGUAUAAUACACAUAGACCAGAGAACUCGUUAGGCUUGGGGCAUGCAGUGACCUCUGAACCUGAUUGAUGCACAGAUGUGUCCAUCAUCUUUUUGGCCUUACAGUUUCUGCCCCUGGCACUCUUCCCUUUUCCUGUGACUGUGGUCUUGGAGCAAUCUUCUAAGUUGUUACAGUGUGAUUUUUCUCUUCUAUAGCUCACAGACUUAAUCUUCAUUCUUUCCCUGUUCCACUGAUGGGUAGGAUCACUUAUUUCCUUUGCCCUGUAAUGUAGCUGAAGAUGGAAUAGACUUUCUAUGUUGCUUUGGCUA